rnacentral:rRNA from 1 species
AUGUGUGCGAGAGAGAAUGGAGAUAGAAUUUUUAUAGAGGGCAUUGGAUGGGAUUGCUUUUACUACGACUAUGAUAUAAGAAGAGGAGACACGAUACAUUUUCGCUACAACUAUAAAGAUUUAUUGAUGUAUAUGUCCCCAAUACAUCCAAAUGGUGAACCAAAGGUUAUAAUUAGUAAGUACAUACUGUUUUAUAUUAGUUAUUUAUUUGGUAAUAUUUUGAUAAUUAACAAUUGUUUAAUUUUUAAAAUUCAUAAAGCCGAUGUAUUUGACGAAGAAGAAAGACCUGUUGCAUACGACAAUGGGUUUAAUCUAAUACAAAGGCAAGUCAACAACAUGCGUACUUUAGUACAGACUUAUGAGGACUAUCCUGCGCAGGUCCAUUGCUUUACAACUGCCAACAUAUAUGGUAAUUAUUUGGUAAUACAUAGACCAAUAGUUGGGAGCCUUGGUCUACAACAAUAUGGUUUACUUUUACUGGAAAUGAGCCGGCAAACACACCAAUCAACAUAA